rnacentral:lncRNA from 1 species
CAAUUUGACCGCUCUUACCCAUGAUUUACCUCUUCUAAGAAAUAAUAUCAAAGAAAAACAUAACGCUAUGUCUACGAACAUUUAUCGAAAAAAGUCAUUUGCCUGCAAAUAACUGAAAUAAAUUAAAAAAUUUGCACCCCUAAUCAAGCUGCGCCCAUGGCGAAUGCCACUUUCUCCAAGCCCUAGUUACGGCCCUAUUUAUAACAAUAUCUUCAGAAAAUUCCUGGCAUUAGUUUCGCGCAAUUCGUUCCUCGAUAAGAAAAUUCAUCAAAAACAGUACAAAAAAUUGCUCGAAUAUAUGUGCUAUUCAUUACCGAUGCUAAGAACCACAUUAAUUUUUAUACUUCUAUGCAGAAUUAUCAUUAUUCAAAUAUUACUAUUAGAAUAAUCACUUAUCGGAACUUCUAGUCGUAAUUAUUAAACUGAAUAUUAAGACAAAAAUUUGUUAACAUAAUCUUAAAAGUAAUUAAUUAGUUUUAGCCGGAUUUUGUAAGAAAUUAC